UCUUGCCCACGAGGUCGGGGUUUACGCCUUCUCCGUGGCCUUCCGGGCUUCCGUAGUCCCCUUGCAGCCACCCCUCUACUCCCGCGAGACCCGUUUUCCAAAGUCUGGUGGUUCGGGUCCCACUGUCUCUAGUUCGGGGCUCAAACAAAGCACUCACAAUGGAAGGCUGGAUUUCCCUAACAUGUGGAAAGAAAAUAUGAAAACCAAGACAUCUCAGUAGAAAUCAGUCUGGAUCUAGUAACUAGAGAUGUGCUCAAAACGGAGUGCCUUAGAGGCAGUUACUGAGGACAACCAGCAUUAAGUGGGUAUUUCUCAAGACAGGCGCACCAGAGGCAGCACUGCAACACAAGGUGAAACAAGAUGGCCUCAACUAUUCCCAAAAUGGUGAAAACAGAGGGCACAACGAGAAGAAACAAUUUAGUGGGAACUGAAUUUACCUAUUCUUUGGUUUGCCCACUUGGUUUUACUAAAUGAAAAUGAUGAUGAUGACAACAAUGAUGAUGAUGGUGGUGGUGGUGAUAAUGAUGACGAUCACAUACAGUGCUGAGUCAAAGAGCAGACUGACCAUCUUUCCAGAAUGACGUGCCCAGAGUGCCUCAGUUGGUUGAGCAUCCUCCCAUGCAUCAGGCGGUUAUGGGUUUGAUCGCCACUUGGGAAUCUAUGGAAGGGAACCAAUUGAUGUUUCUCUCUCUCUGACCAACAGGAUUUGAAUUCAGUUCCUCCACAUCCUAUCCAAUGUCAGUCUUUUACAUUUUAGUCAUCCUAAUAGGUGUGUAACGGUAUCUCAGACUAUUUUGCUAUAUUUGUAUUUCCUUCAUGACUAUUGAUAUCGAGCAGGUUUUCAUGUGCUCAUUUGUCACUCAUGUCUUUCUUGAUGAAGUAUUAGUUGAAAUCUUUUGCCCCCAUUUUAGUGAGUUAUUUUCUUAUAACUGGAUAGAGUUUUGAGUUCAUUCUGGAUACAAGUCCUUUAUCUGGUAUACGUUUUGCAAACAUUUUCUCCCAUUCUGUGGCUUGUCUUUUCAUUCUCUUAAAAAUGUUCUUUGAGGAGCAGAAAAUUUUAAACUAUAGUGACAGAAAGCACACCAGUGAUUGCCUAGGGCCUGAGAGUGUGACAAAGAUUGGCUGAAAAUAGACAGGAGGGAUUUUUUUCCAGGGGUUUUAUAUGUUCUCUAACUGGACUGUGGUGACGAUUGCAAAACUCUGUAGAUUUACUAAGUAUCAUUGAAUUUUACACUUAAAGGAAGUGAGUUUUAUGCAAUGGCCUUUUAGUACAAUUUAAAAAUUUUUUAAAUUGUUAAGGUAUGAAACCCUUGGGUGUGUCAGACACUAUACUAACUGCAGGGUAUAAGAUGAUGGUGAACAAAACAUCCCCAAUCUUUAUUCUCCUGCGGACUUGGCUAAACAAAUACCGUAAGUACUGCCCUUGCUGGUAUGGCUCAGUUGGUUGAGCAUUGUCCAGUGCACCGAAGGGUCACUGGUUCAAUUCCCCGGAGAGGGCACAUACACAAAUUUCGGGUCCAAUCCCUGGUUGGGGCAGAUGCAGGAGGCAACUGAUGGAUGUUUUCCUCUCUCCUUUUCCCUCUCUCUCUAUAAAAUCAAUAAGCUUUUCCUCAGGUAAGGAUUUGUGUUAAAAGAAGAUACUGCCAAACAGUUUUCCUACUGAAUUCCAGUUGUUCCAUGCGCUUGUGUUGGCAACUUAAAAAAAAAAAUCUGAAAAAAAAAAUGAUCUGGCCCUGACCCGUUUGGCUCAGUGGAUAGAGCGUUGGCCUGCAAGCUGAAGGGUCCCGGGUUCCAUUCCGGUC